rnacentral:lncRNA from 1 species
UUAAGACUAAGGUGGGGGUGGAAUUCAAGAGUUUGGGAAGCAUAACACUAACAAUGUUUUGUUGUUGUUUUUAAGCAAAUACAUACUUAGUUUAAACUGAGUGUCCAGAGGUUGCUUAUAAGAAGAUUUCAUUAGUUCAUGAACACUAAGGCAUCUCUGUGAGAAUAAUAUCAGAAAACUCACAGUGGACCUGAACACAGAAAUAAUUGACCAGCAAGAGAAUAAAUUCAGGUUAUGGAAGUAUGAAGGAUUCUGGGAAGCCUCACUGGGACUCAGUACAAGAUGUCAUAUUUGAACAUUAUUUUCCGCCAUGAGCAAAGGAAAAAAAAGAAACAUGGGGCAGAAAAAGUGUGAUAUACUUGCCAUCCUGAAUCUAAAUCUGGUGAUGAAAUAUAGUGAAGAAGCAUAACUCAAAUACCAAAUAUGAGAGGUCCUGGCAAUGCAAAUUCUCAUGUGCUCAUUUUCAUGUGCUAUGUUCACUAAACUAGGAUUUAUUUAACUCUACAACUGUGAUAGAUACAUUGGGAGACACAAAGAUAAAUCAGACAUAAAUUCCAUCCUCAUGAAGCUUAC